AGCGAACGCUGGCGGCAGGCCUAACACAUGCGAGUCGAGCGGCCGUAGCAAUACGGCAGCGGCAGACGGGAGAGUAACACGUGGGAACGCGCCCUUCGGUUCGGGAUAACUCAGGGAAACUUGGGCUAAUACCGGAUACGCCCUUACGGGGAAAGAUUUAUUGCCGAAGGAACGGCCCGCGUCCGAUUAGCUUGUUGGUGAGGUAACGGCUCACCAAGGCGACGAUCGGUAGCUGGUCUGAGAGGAUGACCAGCCUCACUGGGACUGAGACACGGACCAGACGCCUCCGGGAGGCAGCAGUGGGGAAUAUUGGACAAUGGGCGCAAGCCUGAUCCAGCCAUGCCGCGUGGGUGAUGAAGGCCCUAGGGUUGUAAAGCCCUUUCAGCGGGGAAGAUAAUGACGGUACCCGCAGAAGAAGCCCCGGCUAACUUCGUGCCAGCAGCCGCAGUAAUAC
rnacentral:rRNA from 1 species